UCUCUCUCUCUCUCUUUUCAAAUUGCAAGUUUGCAGUAUGCAGCACCAAUCAAAGCAGAUCUGCAGCGUGAAUGGUAUACUGGUAUGUAAGCAACAUUCAGUAAUAGCAUAGUAAAUUUCAAUACAUUAGGAUCAUGCGAAUUCAUAUUGCAUUAGGAGCUUUGCAUGCGAAUUUAAAUUGCAUAAGUAGCCUUGCAUUCUUGCAUAAUUCUCCUCUACGAUUAUGUAAUGGAACUGCUCGAAUCCCAGUUCGUAACUCUGAUAUAGGAUAACAUGUUUGACCUGCAAAGUCAUGUUUUCCUGAUGCGUCAUACUCAAAUACUUCAAUUCUGAGCACAGCCAAUUCAGGAACUGUCAGUGAGAAUUCGAACUCCUCAUUCCAAUCCGGUAGCCAGUCAUUUUUUAUUACUCCUGUUUUCCGCUUAGCUUUAUCACCUGGGACUCCAGCAACUGCAAGCUGCAAACUCAUCAAUCAGUCGGUAACAUUUUUGCCAGGUCCGUGUUCCCAAAUGUAGAUUACAUUCUGAGGGAAAUCUAGAAUGUCAACAUGUAAACAAAAUUAUCUGCUGUGACCAAAAAUUACUCCAACCAAACAGACUAAUUUGUAUGCAGAUUACAGAGCAAUAACAGAUUGCCAUAGAUAUGCAGAUUACAGUUGCAAUAACAGAUUGCCAUCGAUAUUCUUACUUUGACAAAGAAGUCAGGUGGAGAAUAUAGAUCAAAAUGGGUUCGGUGAAAAUCCAAAUCCCACCCUUCCCCCAUGAAGACUUUCACCUUCAAAAUUCUUUUUACAAGUAAUUGCUCGGUGGGAUCAAAAACCUUGUUGUUUGGGCCAAGUCGCAAUAAGAAAUCAGGUUUUUUCACAUAACCACAGCGACCAUUGGCUUUAAACAUCCCAUGCAUGACCCAGAGAUGUUUCCCAUAGCCCUGUCAAGGAGGGAUUAAAGAGAGGAAAUGGUAAAUAGAAGCCGUAUAUAAUGCAGAGUGUGGGCGAUUAAUGUCUUGAACAGCCAUCUAAAUCUUCUUGUUGAAAGUUGUUCAUUAAACGUCUUAUAGUGGAAAAAGCCUAGAAUGACAUCUUUACUUAUUUCUUUCUUCCUUUUGCUGUGAGGAGUACUGCCAUUUAUUAUCAGAAGAUAAGCAUGAGAAAAUUAAAAAUUUUUUGAAAUAAAAACACAAGUAGAUCAAAAUUUUGGAGGUUUUGAUGUCAAUUUAGACACCUCAAGAAGAAGAGAAACCUGCAUAUUAAACGCCACCAUUUGAGAUCCAUGAGUCCAACCAACAAAAGGAUUGUAAUUAGAGGAAUCAAGGCGAAGACCCUUGGGGUAUACCCGCAGCAAAUUCCGCUGAGUGAACCUGACAAUGUCGGUUCCAUUUGUUGUAGUAGCAUUUUCAACUUCUUGCUCGCUCAUGCUGAGACGUGCAACUUUGUUUGAAUCAAUGCUCAGCCAGUUUUCUAGUGGACCUUUAAGCUUCCCUGCAUGAAUGGCAAUUAAAUUCCUGUAUUCAAUCUCUUCAUCUUCAUCUGGAAUGUGUUCUAUCUGAACUAGCUGGUCCUUGUCAUCAGUUUCAGUUUCAAUUUCAAUUUCAAUUGUGGAAGCUGCCUUCUCAUCCUCCCAAUGCUCUUUCUUUGAUGAUUUUCUAGACUUUUGUCGAGUGUCUUUUUCCUUGCUAUUCUGAGUUUCAACAUACUCUUUUGGUGGUUUAGUGGAAAUCAUUACUCUUUUCUUCAAUGAUUCUGGAGAAGGAAAUUCCUUCAUUUGAUCUGAUUCAGGACAGAACAACAUCUUUCCAAAUGUUUUAGUGACCAUCUUGGCUACCUUGGACUGAAGAUCUGGAGUUAGAUGGUCCUCAAAAGUUAUUACAACAGGAUAUUCAGAUGCAUGGAAGGCAUUGUCUUUAAUGGCAUGUAAACAUUUGAUGAGUUCCACUGGAGAAGUGAGUGUCCUGCGCUCAUGAAAAAACUUUGAAUGCUUGAGGCAUGCCAAAGUCGUGAACCACCAGAAGCAGAACUGGUCUAAGAUCUUGACCACUCUUUGCUAGUGACUAGUGAGUGAUUUAUUCAUCUUUAUUUUUAUGUUCAAAUUAAUUAUGCAAUGCAGCUUAAUCUGGCUAGAAACUAUUGCUUCCAUGGGGAAAUCUUAUAGAAACUUGCAUGAUAUGAAGAAUAUGAUUUGAUUAGGAGCAAAUUUGUUGUAUUUCCCUGAUUUAAUCCAUGAUAGAAGCCAAUGCAUAACAGGUAUGAUCCUUGUGAACUAUACUAUUGGAAGCAAGUAUACAUUUUACUUUUGUUUUCCUAUGUUCAUUGUCAUCUUUCAUUUAUAAUUUUAAUGAUAUUUAUGUUUUAAGAGAUGAGAUUAAGAUCAAUUAUAUUGCAAAAAUAACUGAAAAUUACGUAUACCCUCCAUGGCGGACUUCCACAUUGUCUUUCUUGGAAUUCGGCCACAAAUCCAAUUCAAUUACUCUCACACCGUUUCGUAGAGCAUUUAUAAUGGGUUCAACACUGCUGUCACUGCUAAGUUGAUUUCCAGUCAAGUAGGAGUUAUGGCCCGUGAACAUGAAAUAAUGAGCCAGUGGGGCUUUCAUGUCUUGGUGAACCCCACUAGAUGGACAGAGAGCAGCAUUGAGAUCGCUCAUAAGAUAUCGGAGGAACGCUUCCAGAUGGAGACCCUUUCUUUGGAAGAUGUUAAGAUACUUGAGGCUGUUGAAGAUGGCAUGAGCAUCAUCCUUGGUGGCUUGUUCGUGUCCUUGAAAUUCCAUAAGAAACUUGUGCAGGUCGUUGAGGGCCAUGAUGCCAUUCUGCGAGUAUUGGUCGAAGAGGAUUUUGACAUAUCUAGGAGGUUCAAGCUUGGACAUCUGUUACAGACAAAGAACUAAGAUGCUCAAGUUUGAAG
rnacentral:misc_RNA from 1 species